UCCCAGCCACUUGCGCACGAAUUGCUUCGCGAACAAAUGGCUGGGCAGUCUGAAGUGACAUGUAUAACACUUCACAGGGGUUGCGCUCGUUUCCCGACUGAACGGAACAUCUUACGACACGAGCUGACGACAACCAUGCAGCACCUGGUCUAGCGGCCUCGAAGGACUUCUCAUUUCUGAGAUCUCCAGCUAGAUUUCAAACCCUGGUGAGGUGCCUCGCUUACCGUCGAAUUAAACCACAUGCUCCACCACUUGUGCGGAUCCCCGUCUAUUCCUUUGAGUUUUAAGCUUGCGCUCGUACUUCCCAGGCGGCAUAUUUAACGCGUUAGCUACGGCACAGAAAGGGUCGAUUCUCCCUGCACCUAAUAUGCAUCGUUUAGGGCGUGGACUA
rnacentral:misc_RNA from 1 species